GCCAUUGCACUCCAGUCUGGGCGACAGGACGAGACUCUGUCUCAAAAAAAAAAAAGAUAGGAUGACAACACUGCCUGUCUCACUGGAUUCUUGUGAGGAUUAAACUGGUUACUGUUUUUAACGUACUUGGAAGAGUUUGUGGUCCUGUGUUUGUUAAAUGUAUGCAAAUUAACUGCCCGGCUCACCUAUGCCUGGUAUUAUGCAAGGGGCUUCACAUCAGUUACCUUGUUUGGUCUUUACCACAUCCUCAUGAGCUUGGAAUGACUAUUAUUAGGGAAAGUGGACCCAAGAAGGUCCAGUUCCUUGCCCGAGGUCACACAGCUGGUAAAAGGCAGAGCGAAGGUUGAAACUCAGAAUGGUCUGUCUCCAGGACCGGGGCUCUCCACCACUCAGCUCUGCCUAUUCCAGGGCUGCAACCUCUCUACGGAGGUGAAGCAUCUACUGGAUCACUUUUGACCAACAGCGCAUCAGCCGGCAGAGGGAUGAGGGGUGAACCAAGAAGGGCCCCUUCCCCCUCAGGCCGGAGAGAUUCCUCUGACUAAUUUACUGGGUGACUCCGAUGGCAAACUGCAGCCCUGUUCCCUCCAGCUGAGUAAGCUCCGUUGUGGGGUUCUAGAGAGAGGGGGUUUCUGGUGUGGGCAGCUCCCAAAGCCAGAUCAGGGCUUGACUGUGUUUGCCUGGGUAGGGGCACUGCCAAGGGAGCAGGGCCACCCCCAGAUGGCCUCCAGGACCAAGGCACAGGAGCUGGGAGACCCGGGUCCCCGUGCAGCUUCCCUGGGUGUGGGUGGUGGCUGCAGCCUAGGGUGUUUUGCUCACUCUCAUUUUCUGUUUUGUCCCAACAGGACUCCGCCGUCUUACUCAUGAUUGGGUCCCCUGGGCAGAGCCAGGGCCUGGCAGACAGCAGAUGUCCAGUAAAUACCUCUUGGCCCUAAGAAAGACUGGGAACACUCACGCAGUGGGAACACCUUCCUGUGUGUUAUCUCGUCUCAUCCUCACAGCAGCCCAGAGAGCGACCGCAGGUGCACACAGAUCUGAGGCCCUGAUCUGUUCCACUCUCUUUAUGCCAAACAGAGGAGGGACGCGAACCCCAGCAUGAAACGGCGCCCACAACCACAAGGCCCGGUGUGCGCCCUCUGAAACCGUAGGUUUUCCUGGGAAAGGAGCCUUUGAUGGUGGAUGUCUUCAUGGCACAUGUGAGGACCAUCAUUACCAAAUCUCCCUUCAUCUGUUUGGAGUUCCCUGCAUCAGUCCAUGAUUCCUUAUUGGGCAAGCUGGACUGGAGGAGGUCACAAUGGGGUUGGAGGAGACCAUCACUGGGACCGAGAUGGGAGGAAACUGGAGCUUGGACCCUUGGAACUAAAGAC